GGGGUUCCUGUUGGCAUUGAAUCAGCGCCAAGCACCAUGAGUUGACAAUGUCAAUUAAAUUUAGCCUCGUCAGGCAGCCUGGAGCCACAGUGGAGCCGCGGCUUUGGGAUCAGACAGCUUGGUUAUGGGAUCUGGCCUUACCAUACUUACUGUUGAACUUGGGCAUGACCCGGCCCCAAUCCCGAGGCUAAAGAUUGUGAGCAUGGAAAGGUCACAGGAGGCUUCAUAAAGGGCCAUUGGACUGAGCAUCGAGACACGCACGCGAGAAAUUCAAUGCAUG